rnacentral:rRNA from 1 species
AGUGAACGCUGGCGGCAGGCUUAACACAUGCAAGUCGAACGCACCGCAAGGUGAGUGGCAGACGGGUGAGUAACGCGUGGGAAUUUUCCCUUCAGUUCAGAAUAGCCCCGGGAAACUGGGAUUAAUACUGAAUAUUAUCUACGGAUGAAAGAUUUAUCGCUGAAGGAUAAGCCCGCGUAAGAUUAGCUAGUUGGUGAGGUAACGGCUCACCAAGGCAUUGAUCUUUAGCUGGUCUGAGAGGAUGAUCAGCCACACUGGAACUGAGACACGGUCCAGACUCCUACGGGAGGCAGCAGUGAGGAAUAUUGGACAAUGGGCGCAAGCCUGAUCCAGCCAUGCCGCGUGAGUGAUGAAGGCCCUAGGGUUGUAAAACUCUUUAGUGGGGAAAAUAAUGAUGGUACCCACAGAAAAAGCUCCGGCUAACUUCGUGCCAGCCGCCGCUGUAA